rnacentral:rRNA from 1 species
AUUGAACGCUGGCGGCAUGCCUUACACAUGCAAGUCGAACGGCAGCACGGGAGCAAUCCUGGUGGCGAGUGGCGAACGGGUGAGUAAAGUAUCGGAACGUGCCCAGUCGUGGGGGAUAACGUAGCGAAAGUUACGCUAAUACCGCAUACGAUCUAUGGAUGAAAGCGGGGGAUCGCAAGACCUCGCGCGAUUGGAGCGGCCGAUAUCAGAUUAGGUAGGUGGUGGGGUAAAGGCUCACCAAGCCGACGAUCUGUAGCUGGUCUGAGAGGACGACCAGCCACACUGGGACUGAGACACGGCCCAGACUCCUACGGGAGGCAGCAGUGGGGGAUUUUGGACAAUGGGCGAAAGCCUGAUCCAGCCAUGCCGCGUGCAGGAUGAAGGCCUUCGGGUUGUAAACUGCUUUUGUACGGAACGAAAAGGUUUGGGCUAAUAAGCUGAGCUCAUGACGGUACCGUAAGAAUAAGCACCGGCUAACUACGUGCCAGCAGCCGCCGUAA